rnacentral:lncRNA from 10 species
CAGAUACAUCGUCUGUGAAAGUGAAACUUAGGAGCUUUGUGAGUCCUGUUGUACUGCUUUUAGACACAUUUAUAUGUCAAGGGACCAAAGUCACAUUUUCUACCGAUUAGAUCCUGAUCAUUCAGGGAUUACCAAGAUUCUGCUACCCACUGUAGUUAAUAAACAAAAAGCAAACUGGUCUCUGUUCUAUCUCAUGCACUCAGGCGCAACUUCUCCAGAUUUAAAGAAAAAGAAAAAAAAAGCCCUGUCUCUACACCUCCAUUCCCAGGGCAAGCUCACUCUCCGGCACCAAGCUCUCUGGGGUGAUUUUUCUUCUAGAAGAGUCCACUGGGACAGUCGCCAAGGAUGGGGUCAUGGCACCCCGGACCCUCCUGCUGCUGCUCUCGGGAGCCCUGGUCCUGACCCAGACCUGUGCCGGUGA